rnacentral:rRNA from 1 species
UACGGGGGGAGCAAGCGUUGUUCGGAUUUACUGGGCGUAAAGGGCGCGUAGGCGGCCCGCACAAGUCUGCGGUGAAAACCCCCGGCUUAACCGGGGGCCGGCCGUGGAAACUGUCGGGCUAGAGGCCGGGAGAGGGCAGCGGAAUUCCCGGUGUAGCGGUGAAAUGCGUAGAUAUCUGGAGGAACACCGGUGGCGAAGGCGGCGUCCUGGACCAACACUGACACUGAGGAGCGAAAGCCAGGGGAGCAAACGGG